AGUGCCUGGCACAUAAUAAGCACUGUGUAAGUGAUUGCUGUUAUUUCUGCUUGGAGCUUUUAUAAGCUAUUGUUAAUAGGAAAAUGACACUAAUGAUUUUCAUUUUAGAGUGUCAAAGGCACUUUGAGUAUUUUAUUUUUUCAAGAAUGUAAUAAGACUUUUUUCAUUUAAAGUCAGUGUUCCCUAUUACCAUAAUUUAUUUUAUGAAUAUAAAGAAUUGAAUGUCUUUAAGACAGUACUUGUGGUUAAAUGUCAAACCAUUAUUUUACCAAGGCACAUCAACCUGGCUGUACAUAGUCCAGGCCUCUAAAGUUUGUGUGCAUACCCUAGGUAGCAUGUGAGAUCUAUUUUGUAAUACAGUUUUUAAAAUAAUGCCUUGGACUUCCCUGGCGGUCCAACAGUUAAGACUCUGCGCUCCCAAUGUAGGGGGCCCGGGCUCGAUCCCUGCUCAAGGAACUAGAUCCCACAUGCAUGCCGUAACUAAGAGCCCGCAUGCCACAACUAAAAGAUUCGGCAUGCCGCAAGUAAAGAUCCGGCACAGCCAAAUAAAUAUUUAAAAAUAAUAAUAAUAGUAAAAUAAUGCCUUAGAUUUAGGAAAAGAAAAUAUUAGAACCUAUUUGCCUUUGUAUCAGUUUUAAAAUAUCUGUGUGGUUUAUAAUGUACAUACAUUAUAUGUAUAGAACUUCGUGUAUAUAAUUUGUUAAUAAAUAAGAUGCAUAUUAAAAAGUUUUCUUAUGGGUUGCCCAGUCAGGUGUUUGGAGACCUUUGGAGGACAGAAUGAUGAAAUUAAGAGCCUCAGCAAUGAUAGAAUUUAGAACCAAUUCCCUGAGUUAGAAGAUCAGGAAAAUAAUUCAUAGACUGUAAUUGAGUUGUCCAACUUUACAUAACUGUUCAGAAACAGGUCAUCCAGUGACUGGAAUCUAAUCACUGAUGGACUAGAAUGUGGGUCACUGGACUCGUGAAGCAGAACUGACUGUUUAAUUUCUCAGCUUGAUUCUCCUGGCACAUAUGCUUGAUACGUGUGUGUGUAAACCUCUGACAUAAUAAGCCAUACUCAGUAGGCACACCCUGUUUCCUUAUUGAAGCAUCUUAAUUUUGUCCCAUUAAAUCUUUGAAGUAUCAGACUACCAGAAGGCACGAGGAAACCUGGGCUGAGAGUCUUCAUUCCAGGAGACCUGAUCUUGACUGUAUGGCUGGUUUGAGGCGCAUCACUCUGAACUGCGACAUGCUCAUUGGUGACAUGGGUGCAAGUGCUUUUGCAGAAUCUCUUAGUGAGGAUUUGUGGCUUUUUCAAGUGUGAUUUGGAGCUGAAGAUCGUGAUCAAAAGAAUGCAGUGCAUUUCUGAGUUCCACCAGGUUUUGCUUGUGAGGUUUACGUGCCACUGCCGCCCUUGCUAAUUAUGAACUGAGGUUCAUUUUGUGAUGCUUUUUGCUCACAGGUUAUAUAUACAGUUAUUCUUCAGUUCUGUAAUUGUAAAAUAUGUUGGAUGAUUUAUUGGUACUAAAGCCAGGGUUAUCAUUGCACAUCCAAGAAGAGGUUUUUAAAUUGGAUUAUGCAUUAUGUGUGUGCGUAUACGUUUCUUUUGUUUUUCCAUACCCAAAAUUACAAACCUGCCGUGACUUGUCUUGGGCAGGACUCUUCGACACGUGAGAAAAUGAGAGUUGUCUAUAUGUUAAAUCUGUAGAGUUAGCAAGUGACCUUUUGUCUUUCAUCAAAAACACUUGACCUGCAGCAGUGUGGCCUCACCGGUGAAGGAGCAAAGGCUUUACUAAAGGCCCUUGAAACCAACAGAACUCUGCUCUUUCUGGAUGUAAGAAAACAUCCACUUGUUGAUACGGGUUUAGGCACUAGGGAUAAAGCAGUGAACCAGACACACAAAAGUCUUGCCCUCAUGGAGCUUACAUUCUAGUGAAGGAGUUCAGAUAGAAAUGAGUAAACAGAUAAGUCAUAUAAUUUUAGAUAGUAGGAGGUCCAAAAAUAUCUUUAUGUAAAGAGAGUGAGCAGGGGCAGGUAGGACUCCAUUGGACAGGUUUGUCAGGGGACAGCUUCACUGGAGAAGUGGCAUUUGAACGGAGACCUGAGUGAAGAGAGGAGUAAGCCAUGGAAGAACUAGAAUAAGCACAUUCCAGGACAAGGAGCCCGUGAGUAUGCAGGCAUGUAGGUGGGUGGAGUAUUGAAGGAAAAGCAAGGAGGCCAACAUGGCCAGAGUACUAAGUGAAGAAGAUGUGGUAUGACAUGAGGUCAAGGAGCUAGCCAGGGGUCUGCACUUGUAAAGUCUUGAAGGCCAGAGUAAAGAUGUGGAUUAUUCUAUAUGAGUAGAAGGUUUUGAAGUGGAAAAAGGCAUGAUCCAAAUAGUAUCUGAAUAAGAUGACCUGGUAUAGAGAAUAGACUUGGGGGGAUAAAGAAGAGAAACAGGGAUACCAGUUAGGAGACUAUCACAGGGGUCCAAAUAAGAGAUGUUUAUGGCCUAGGUUAGGUUGGAACUUUGCAGCAAGUGAAAAGUGGUUGAAUUCAGGUUGUGUUUUGAGGGUGUAGCUAACAAGGCUUGCCGAUAGAUUAGAUGUGGGGUAUGAAGGGAAUAGUAACAAGGAGACAAGUCGUUGAUGAUUAUGUGUGCAACUGGGUGGUAUCACUUAGAAGAAGGGGGCUGAUGGGAGGAGCAGCUUUUGAGGGAAUAUCAGGACUUUGGUUUGUUAUCUUAGAUGCCCUUUAGGUAUCUAAGUGUCUGGACAGUGCUCAGACUGUACUUUAUAUCCAAAGGUAUCUAAAGCCACUUUAGAUGCAAAAUGUUUAAAGUUGACCUUUGCUGCUGCCAAAAUAGUAGCCACUGUGGGCAGUCUGCAAGAUGGCAUCUCAGGUUUCUGAGGAAGAAAUUAGAAUACACAAAC